AAGUUCGGGGCAUUCUUACACACCUAAUCCAAAUUUGCACUUUGGGAGUCCAAACC
rnacentral:tRNA from 1 species